UGAAAUCCAGGUCCUUUUAAUUGAAAUGGUAAUUUACAAAACCUGUCCUAGCUCAUAGUGUCCUCCCUGACACUCUGGUCACCCUACAGUUACAGCUAGUGUUUUCGUCAACGAAAUUUUUGACGAAAUAUCUUCGUCAACGAACCUUUUUGACGUGACGGGAGACCAAACGAGACGCAACGUAAAUGCUGGUCAUGUGACGACAACUAUAACGAAAUAUAUCGUGUAAUACUGUUGACGAAUAAAAACGAGACUAAAUUUGGUUUACAAAAUAAAAACUAUAUUAAAAUGUCUCUUCAUUUUCGUUGACGAAAACGAGAUGAGACGUUAUUUCCUCUCGUUUAAUCGCGUUAUUAUUAUGCAGUACGUAUUUCUGUUGCCUGUCUCCCCCAUUCGGGCGCACAGAUAGCGGAGAAAUGCGGCCACAAAAUAUCGGGAAAAAACACCACAAACCUUAAAACCUUAAAAGACAUCAAGGCAUUCCACAAUGACAUUGAGGGGCAUUUCUCACCGAGGUCCAAAUCAGCUUUACUGCACGUCAACAGAGGACUGAGCACCGAGUUUAACGUCACACUAGAGAGUCACCAAAGAUAUGCGGCUUCAGUGCAAUUGCUGGCCCUGCCUUGAGUGCAGUCCAAAUGGACCCCCACCCGCGCCACCCCAACAUCACAACAGAAACGCCUUUGUGUUCCUGCCAGCAGCAGCAUGGAUGGAAGUGAAGGACAUUUUGUUUAACCCCCACUCCCUACCCCGAGGACCUGCAUAAAAUCAAAGAUGGGAAAACCUUAGAGGUUCAUUCUGGCAGCUACGACCUCAUUUCAUCCAAAACUAGCUGAAGCCCUGACCAAACCCUCCUCCAGAUGCUGGCCGCCUGACCACACUCACAUUUACAUGCAGAUGCUAUAUAAUGAGGCAUCACUGCAUAAUUACUUUAAAACAAACUGCUGUGAAUUACUCAGUUUCAUGCUUGAUUUUAUAUGGGAUGAGAUUACAAAUAUAUACAUAUAUAUAUAUAUAUAUCCAUCCUCCAACCACACUUCUAGGAUAGGGUUAUGGGUAUAGAAAGUAUAUAAUAUAUAAAAUAUAAUUAAAAACUAUCCAUCACAUAUGCAUACUCACAUACAUUCAGUGACAUUCAAAAAUCGGCAUAUCUGCUUUUAAUGCAUUUGUUUCUAUUUUGCUAUUCAUCUUAUAGUAAAAGGCCUCGAGGCAAUGAGGUAAUACAAAUCAAACAUUGCAGCAACCAGGAAUAUUGCAACAUCUCAAAACGUUCUCAUUUUAUUGUUAUUGUUAAUUUUAGAUUCUUCAAAACAGCCUCCUUUUUGCUUCAACGACAGCAUUGCAGACUCUUGGCGUUCUUUCAACCAGCUUCCAGAUGUAGCCACCUGGAACGCUUCUCCAACAGUCCUGAAGGAGUUUCUACACGUUCUGGGCACAAGUUGGCCACCUUGCGGUCACUCUUCAAUCCAGCUCAUCCCAAACCCCCUCCAUUGGGCUUCUGGUCAGGGGAUUGUGGGGGUCAGGUUGCCUGUCACAGCACUCCAUCUCUUUUCUUGUUCACAAGAUAGUAUAGUACUUCUGUAACCUUGCGGUGUGCUUAGGGUCUUGUGAAAACAAAUGAUUUUCUAUAGGUGUGCCCAGACUUUUGACUGGUGCUGUAUUUAUUGCAUACAAAUAAACAUACAUACGUAUUAUAUACAAUGCAAAUUCCCAUACACACAUAUUACUUUGUUGAUACCCAGCGAGAUAUAGAAUAUUCUCUGUUGCCGCUAUUAAAGCAGACAACCAGCUUUAACAGUGACACCCAACCUGUUGUUUGUAACAUAGCCGGUUUUAAGGUCCUGAUGCAUCAAAUUAACUCAACAACCCGCUUGUUCAUUUUCAUUAAAAAAGACACGAAGACAGCAUUGUGUGUUAUGGUUCACAAAACAAAAAUCCAAGAUGAUUAAUAAUAACAAUACUAUACAUAAAUAAUAAAAUCCAGCAUAUAAUUUAUUAUAUUACAAUUUAAUAACGGCAGCAGUGUGUACAUAUAAAACCUUUUAUCCAAAAAAAUUCAGUGGAUUGGGAAUAUGAGUUACUUAGUUGACGUGAUUUAAUAGUAUUAUUGACCUAUGGUACAGUCGAGUAAAUCAGGAAGAGAACAAACAAGAGCUCCCAAAGUUAUAACGCCAGGAAGAAGCUACUUUGUGAAAAGUUUUUUAAUUCAUAUUUAGCAUUCACCCUGUCAAAUGUUUAUUUGAAUAUAUAUAUGUAUUUUCUGUCCCUCUCCAGAGAGAUCUGUUCAAAAAAAAAAAAGAAAAAAACAAACUAAAACAACAAUAU